rnacentral:rRNA from 1 species
UACGUAGGGGGCUAGCGUUGUCCGGAAUCAUUGGGCGUAAAGCGCGUGUAGGCGGUCCGGUAAGUCCGCUGUGAAAGUCGGGGGCUCAACCCUCAAAUGCCGGUGGAUACUGUCGGGCUAGAGUGCGGAAGAGGCGAGUGGAAUUCCUGGUGUAGCGGUGAAAUGCGCAGAUAUCAGGAGGAACACCAAUUGCGAAGGCAGCUCGCUGGGACGUAACUGACGCUGAGACGCGAAAGCGUGGGGAGCAAACAGG